CAGGUAGCACUGAUGUCAUUGUACAUGGAUGGCAGGUAGUACUGAUGUCAUUGUACAUGGAUGUCAGGUAGUACUGAUGUCAUUGUACAUGGAUGGCAGGUAGUACUGAUGUCAUUGUACAUGGAUGUCAGGUAGUACUGAUGUCAUUGUACAUGGAUGUCAGGUAUGUCAGGUAGUACUGAUGUCAUUGUACAUGGAUGUCAGGUAGUACUGAUGUCAUUGUACAUGGAUGUCAGGUAGUACUGAUGUCAUUGUACAUGGAUGGCAGGUAGUACUGAUGUCAU